rnacentral:tRNA from 1 species
GGGGGUCUAGCUUAGUGGUAGAGCAUGUGCUUAGCAUGAGAAAGGUCCUGAGUUCAAUCCCCAGUACCUCCA